rnacentral:tRNA from 1 species
ACCUGGCUGGCUCAGUCAGUAGAGCACGUGACUCUUGAUCAAGGUUGUGAGUUCAAGCCCCACAUUGGGUG